rnacentral:rRNA from 1 species
UACGUAGGGGCCAAGCGUUGUCCGGAUUUAUUGGGCGUAAAGAGCUCGUAGGCGGUUGGGUAAGUCGGGUGUGAAAACUCCAGGCUCAACUUGGAGACGCCACCCGAUGCUGCUCUGACUUGAGUUCGGUAGGGGAGUGGGGAAUUCCUGGUGUAGCGGUGAAAUGCGCAGAUAUCGGGAGGAACACCUAUGGCGAAGGCAGCUCGCUGGGACGUUACUGACGCUGAGACGCGAAAGCGUGGGGAGCAAACAGG